UACGAAGGGGGCUAGCGUUGCUCGGAAUUACUGGGCGUAAAGCGCACGUAGGCGGCUUUCUAAGUCGGGGGUGAAAUCCUGGAGCUCAACUCCAGAACUGCCUUCGAUACUGGAAAGCUCGAGUCCGGGAGAGGUGAGUGGAACUGCGAGUGUAGAGGUGAAAUUCGUAGAUAUUCGCAAGAACACCAGUGGCGAAGGCGGCUCACUGGCUCGAUACUGACGCUGAGGUGCGAAAGCGUGGGGAGCAAACAGG
rnacentral:rRNA from 1 species